GACGAACGCUGGCGGCGUGCUUAACACAUGCAAGUCGAACGGAAAGGCCCUGCGUUUGUUGGGUGCUCGAGUGGCGAACGGGUGAGUAACACGUGAGUAAACUGCCCUUGACAGUGGGAUAACUUCAGGAAACUGGGGCUAAUACCGGGUAGGAGCUCCUGCUGCGUGGUGGGGGUUGGAAAGAUUCGGCGGUGCGGGAUGGAUUGGCUGCUUAUCAGCUUGUUGGUCUGGUAGUGGCUUACCAAGGCUUUGACGGGUAGCCGGCCUGAGAGGUUGACCGGCCACCUGGGUACUGAGAGAGGGCCCAGACGGCUACGGGAGGCAGUAGUGGGGAAUCUUGCGGAAUGGGCGGACGCCUGAUGCAGCAAUGCCGCGUGCGGGAUGACGUCCUUCGGGUGGUAAACCGCUUUCGCCGGUGACGAAGCGUGAGUGACGGUAAUGGGUAAGGAAGCACCGGCUAACUACGUG
rnacentral:rRNA from 1 species